rnacentral:rRNA from 1 species
AACGAACGCUGGCGGCAUGCCUAACACAUGCAAGUCGAACGAGACCUUCGGGUCUAGUGGCGCACGGGUGCGUAACGCGUGGGAACCUGCCCUUAGGUUCGGAAUAACUCAGAGAAAUUUGAGCUAAUACCGGAUAAUGUCUUCGGACCAAAGAUUUAUCGCCUUUGGAUGGGCCCGCGUAGGAUUAGCUUGUUGGUGGGGUAAUGGCCUACCAAGGCGACGAUCCUUAGCUGGUCUGAGAGGAUGAUCAGCCACACUGGGACUGAGACACGGCCCAGACUCCUACGGGAGGCAGCAGUGGGGAAUAUUGGACAAUGGGCGAAAGCCUGAUCCAGCAAUGCCGCGUGAGUGAUGAAGGCCUUAGGGUUGUAAAGCUCUUUUACCAGGGAUGAUAAUGACAGUACCUGGAGAAUAAGCGCCGGCUAACUCCGUG